rnacentral:misc_RNA from 1 species
CGAAGUCACUACCAUACCGAACACGCUACUGGUCCAUCCGCUCAGUAUAGUGCCUUUGUCCUUGAGAUUGGUUCGGUCGUCGGCUUUUCCUCCCUCCUGCAACGACAGCCAAUCAGAAACCAGUGGGCGCAUUGAUGAAAGGUCCAUUGCACCGAAGAAAUCAACGGGAAGAUGCGUUGAAUUGCAACUGUAUGAAGUCGGCCCAUGAGAAGAUCCAGCAUGGCUGACCAGCAGUUCUGCCUGCGGUGGAACCACCACCACACCACUCUGAUCAACGUGUUUGAGUCGCUGCUGAAGGAUGAGAGCCUGGUUGAUGUCACCCUUUACGCAGAGGAGCGACCAGUGCGUGCCCACAAAGUGGUUCUCUCGGCAUGCAGCCCCUACUUCAAGGCCAUCUUUUCUGCACACACUGAAAACCACCCAGUCAUCAUCCUGAAGGAUGUGCUGUACAGCGAGCUGCGCGCGUUGGUCGACUACAUGUACAUCGGCGAGGUGAACGUCAGCCAGGACCAGCUGGCCUCGCUCAUCAAGUCGGCCGAGUCGCUCAAGAUCAAGGGCCUGGCCGACGGUGUCAGCCGCAAACCGCCGCCGCCGCCGCCGGCCUCCCCACCGGCAUCGCUGCCGAGUCUGCCGCUGCCCAACCUGCCGACAACGAGACUGCCGCCGACGGCGCCCCCGAUCCCUGCGCUGGCCUCUCUGCCGCCGCUGGCCGCCCUGCCGCCGCUGCCGGGCCUGGCGCUGCCGCCUCCGCCGCCUCCGUUCCAGCACGGCCGCCGCUCGGCCAGCCCGCACGCGGUGCCGCCGCGCGGCUCGCCGCUGGGCCGGCCGGUCGCCGACCAGCUCAACGGGCGCGUCUCGCCACCGCCCACCAAGCGCGCGCGCCGUCCUUCGCGCGAGACGAGCCCGGCCAGCGGCGGCAGCCCGCCGCCGGCUGGUGAUCAGCCGGAGCGACCCCCAUCAGCACACUCGUCACCGAGCCUGCCGCGCAUCCCGGCCACCAUCACCCCGCUGGCGACGUCGCGGGCCGACUCUCCGGCCGAGCUGGACCUCAGCUGCCGACCCACCAUGAAGACAGAGCCGGCCGGCGACGGGCGCGACGGAGACGAGGCCGACCAGAGGCCGCGGCCACGCAGCGACGACGCGGGCGACGGCGGCGACGAGCUGGAGCCGGCGGUGGACGAGGAUCGCGCCGGGCCGUCGGCGCCGCUGACCGGCACCCCGGGACCCGAUGUCGGCAUGCUCAACUCUUCAGGUUACAUGAACUGGCAGAUGGGUGGCGGCGACAGCGGCGGCGUGGACGUGCCCUUCAUCCCGACCACGGACGCCGGCGGACCCCAAGAUGCGUUCCUGCACCGCGCCCUGAACGUGCGCUUCCAGCAGCUGCUGCAGCAGCAGCGCUACGACCAGCUGCUGGCGCACGGCGCCGCGCCGCCCCCCGGCCCCGGCCCCGGCCCCGGUCCCGGGCCCAUGGGCCUGCCGCUCCUGCUCAGACGCGAGUCGCCCACAUCACCGUGCAAACAGUACGCCUGUGAAAAGUGCGGCCGGCAGUACGCCUCCAGCGGCAACCUGAAGCGGCAUGUCAAAUACGAGUGCGGCGUCGAACCCCAGUUCCAGUGCCCCGUCUGCAAGAAGAAGUUCCAGCACCGGCACUCGGUCAAGAUUCACGUGGUGUCCACGCACAAGUCGGAAAACCCGGAGUUGAUCAAGGAGUAUCUGAUGUAGCGGGACGAGACGCGCUGAGUCGCCGCGCUGCUGGCGACCGGCUGGGCUGGUUCAACCACCUCAGGGAAUAUGCAAGUACAUAGCGGGUGCUCUGAAAGCGCUGCCAUCGCCGGCGGAGAAAGGCCGGAAAGGCGCCGGUCUCCGCCACUACGGACACCCCGCGGAGCCUGGCGGACUGUGGUGUGGUCUGCCCUUCACAGGAGACCACGACAGUGUUGUUGUUUUAGUGCAAAACGGACUCUUCUGCGGGCGCGCCCCGCGCAGGGCACUCGCAAGCCAAUCAAGAAGCCCACUAGCGACAUACGGUUACUUACCAGCAGGGAUUUUAAUUGCAUUUAUUUUAGAUUCUGUAGAUUUUGACGGCGCGCCGCCGCGGCCGGCGCCGGGAUGAGUUGCGUCGCGAGAUUAGCCGGCGCGGCGUGAGAGCGGCGACUUCGGGUGUUCUCGAGUUGUCUCAGGGAUAUCCAAUGUAUUCGGCCUUAUUCGCCUCAGGGAAGCGUGCCGGUGCAAAUUUUGUAUUAGAUUGUAGAACUGUUUGUGUGCUCUGUGUGUUCGUUCGCGCGAUGACGGAUUGUGUCCGAUUGUGUUUGUUUUGUCUCAGGAAUAUCGACUAUUGUCGGUAGCUGAUUGGCUCAGGGACUUCGAUGAACUUUGAUUACCUAUUGUCUCAGGAAUGACGGCAUUGUUUGCCGCGUGCGAAACGUGUCUCAGGAAAUGUUGCCCCGUUUGUCAUAUUGAUAACGUCUCAGGUUUUGUUCCCGUUUAGUCCGUCUGGUGGACUGUUCCUGCAAUGUCGACCUCAGCAGCUGGCGACGGCCCGCCUGGGGCGCACGCUGGCCUGCCCCUGGCCUGAUCGCCUUAGUACAAACCCUCGCUUGCCCGACUGAUCAGAGGUGGCCCCGGCCACCCCGCCCCGUCCACUAGAGUAGUCACUCUACACCUUUAUAGAGUUCGGUGCUCUACACUCUCCACUACCCCAGCCCACUCCCAAUCAACCCACUCAGGAAACCAUGCGUGUAUGGGGCACAGGUGUAAAGCCGUGUUCAGAGAUAACCACCCGAGCGAUGACGUGUUUUACUAUGUACUGGUACGCGGGUGUGAUGAGGUGAUUGAAGCGUUGGUAAUUUUACGUCGGCGUCUGCCGUUGUUUGAGGGCUGAAAUAGUCUACCUGAGGGGAGAGAGAGUGAGAGAGAAUUGGUGCCGAGGCCUGUGGCCGUGGAUUGUGACGGGUCAGAUGGGUAGAGGGAGGGAGGGACAGUGACCGCCGUGGUGCCGCCGCUGUACUGUAGAUAGUCGGGUCGGCAGAGUGGGGAGGGAGGGGUGGUGAAGUGUCCAAAUCAAAAGGUGCCUGCCUGCCAUGUUUGCGUUGUGAGCGGUGCGGUCCCGCCGGCCGGCCGCCGCCUGUCGCCUUGUGACGUUUCAACGACUCGGCGCCUGUGCCGCCUCCGUGUCCGCGGCGGAACUGGCGUCAUCCUGCGCACCCUGUCCGCCGCCGUGUAUCUGUAUCUGAGCGGACAGAGUGCCGUCGAUACCGGGUGUGCACUCGUGUCUGCUGAGCCAUCACGUUCUACACCCUGAGCUCGCCCUGGAAGACGGCUCGAGGUUCGAACCCCGGCCGCCCUUUCAGCGGGCGCGCAGGGAGAGCGCAGGGAGCGCGAGUCGUCUGCUGAGCGGCCGUUAGUCUUCCAGUAGGUGUCGGUGAAGGGGCGGCGUGCUGCCGGAAAUAAUGUAACAUAGAAAUACAACAAUAAAGUCAAAUCCCUG